UACGAAGGGGGCUAGCGUUGCUCGGAAUCACUGGGCGUAAAGGGCGCGUAGGCGGGUGCUCAAGUCCGGGGUGAAAUCCUCCAGCUCAACUGGAGAACUGCCUCGGAUACUGGGUGCCUCGAGUGUGGUAGGGGUGUGCGGAACUAUCGGUGGAGCGGUGAAAUGCGUUGAUAUCGAUAGGAACUCCGGUGGCGAAGGCGGCACACUGGACCACAACUGACGCUGAGGCGCGAAAGCCAGGGGAGCAAACGGG
rnacentral:rRNA from 1 species